AGAAGAUAUAGCUCUCGCAUUAAGAAUAAAUCAAAAUAAAUUGAGUGUUCUCACCUGCGUAACCAAUACUUAACACAAGUUAUUGACCCAAAUUAACAAAUUAUACCAUUCCUCCUUCAAAUUCAAUUGAAUACUCCUUCCUUAUUUCUCUCUCCAUCCUUUUUCAACUGUUCGAUCUAUAUAUACACUCCCCACCUCUCACCAUAAUUGAAUUAAGCUUCAAAUACAAUCCCAUCUCUCUUUCCUCUCAAGCCCUCCUCUUAUAUAUAUAAUGGUCUUAGAUGUUCCACACUAGCCAUCACCCAUAGGAUUACACGAGCCUCGUCCUCUCCUCUUGUAUAGGUUGGCAGAAGUUUCUUGAUCACGUGAAACAUAUAUAUUUCUGUUUGAUCCCAUGUUAUAUCAGUGAAUCAUAUAUUUAUAAGAUAUAUCCAAUCGAUCUUUAGGAUGUUUGCAAGUUGUUCUUAAUUUUUCUGCUAAUUUAGACGUGCAAUUAGUGUGCAGGAAAUAAAUUCGAACCAGGGACAACCAUGAGCAGUGGAAACGGAACAAAAUUCGAUCUCAAGUUGAGUUUAUCUCCCCCAAGGCCAAAUAUUCGAGUCGACUCCCCGCCUGGAUCAAAAACAAUGUCACCGAGCUCAUGUGUCUCAUCAGAAGAGUACAGUAAGAGCCCCAAGGCCACAUCUAUGGUUCUGGUGGGUUGCCCUCGAUGCCUCAUGUACAUCAUGCUAUCAGAAGAGGACCCAAGAUGCCCCAAAUGCAAGACCACUGUUUUGCUUCAUGUCAUCCAUGAACAAAACACUGCCACCAAGAAUACAAGCUACUCUUCAAAAUCUUCCCUUGAGUUUCCAAAAUGAAAGUCUGUUGCCUGCAUGGUGCUACAUUCUCUUUCUCCCCCCCCCCCCCCCCAACCCUUUAAUCUGAAACGUGUGUAAGAGAUUAAAAAAAACAAGCUAUGUACAAUUUACACACAUACUUUGUUGAAAAUUUGUUCAAAAUCAAUGGAAUGAUAAUGGAUUUAUUGUUGGGCUCAAUUGUGGAAUUGGUAGAAUUAAAAGAAAA
rnacentral:lncRNA from 1 species